rnacentral:rRNA from 2 species
CGAGCGAACUGAUUAGAAGCUUGCUUCUAUGACGUUAGCGGCGGACGGGUGAGUAACACGUGGGCAACCUGCCUGUAAGACUGGGAUAACUUCGGGAAACCGAAGCUAAUACCGGAUAGGAUCUUCUCCUUCAUGGGAGAUGAUUGAAAGAUGGUUUCGGCUAUCACUUACAGAUGGGCCCGCGGUGCAUUAGCUAGUUGGUGAGGUAACGGCUCACCAAGGCAACGAUGCAUAGCCGACCUGAGAGGGUGAUCGGCCACACUGGGACUGAGACACGGCCCAGACUCCUACGGGAGGCAGCAGUAGGGAAUCUUCCGCAAUGGACGAAAGUCUGACGGAGCAACGCCGCGUGAGUGAUGAAGGCUUUCGGGUCGUAAAACUCUGUUGUUAGGGAAGAACAAGUACAAGAGUAACUGCUUGUACCUUGACGGUACCUAACCAGAAAGCCACGGCUAACUACGUGCCAGCAGCCGCGGUAAUACGUAGGUGGCAAGCGUUAUCCGGAAUUAUUGGGCGUAAAGCGCGCGCAGGCGGUUUCUUAAGUCUGAUGUGAAAGCCCACGGCUCAACCGUGGAGGGUCAUUGGAAACUGGGGAACUUGAGUGC